rnacentral:rRNA from 1 species
GAUGAACGCUGGCGGCGUGCCUAAUACAUGCAAGUCGAGCGAACGGACGAGAAGCUUGAUUUUCUGAUGUUAGCGGCGGACGGGUGAGUAACACGUGGAUAACCUACCUAUAAGACUGGGAUAACUUCGGGAAACCGGAGCUAAUACCGGAUAAUAUUUUGAACCGCAUGGUUCAAAAGUGAAAGACGGUCUUGCUGUCACUUAUAGAUGGAUCCGCGCUGCAUUAGCUAGUUGGUAAGGUAACGGCUUACCAAGGCAACGAUGCAUAGCCGACCUGAGAGGGUGAUCGGCCACACUGGAACUGAGACACGGUCCAGACUCCUACGGGAGGCAGCAGUAGGGAAUCUUCCGCAAUGGGCGAAAGCCUGACGGAGCAACGCCGCGUGAGUGAUGAAGGUCUUCGGAUCGUAAAACUCUGUUAUUAGGGAAGAACAUAUGUGUAAGUAACUGUGCACAUCUUGACGGUACCUAAUCAGAAAGCCACGGCUAACUACGUG